GUGCUUUCUUUGGUAGCACAUAUACUAAAACUGCAACGAUACAGAGAAGAUUAGCAAGAACUCCUGCACAAGGAUGACAUACAAAUUCAUAAAGCGUUCCAUAUUUUU